rnacentral:rRNA from 1 species
GUGACCUCAAAUCAGGUAGGACUACCCGCUGAACUUAAGCAUAUCAAUAAGCGGAGGAAAAGAAACUAACAAGGAUUCCCCUAGUAACUGCGAGUGAAGCGGGAAAAGCUCAAAUUUAAAAUCUGGCAGCCUUUGGUUGUCCGAGUUGUAAUCUAGAGAAGUGUUAUCCGCGCUGGACCGUGUACAAGUCUCCUGGAAUGGAGCGUCAUAGAGGGUGAGAAUCCCGUCUUUGACACGGACUGCCAGGGCUUUGUGAUGCGCUCUCAAAGAGUCGAGUUGUUUGGGAAUGCAGCUCAAAAUGGGUGGUAAAUUCCAUCUAAAGCUAAAUAUUGGCGAGAGACCGAUAGCGAACAAGUACCGUGAGGGAAAGAUGAAAAGAACUUUGGAAAGAGAGUUAAACAGUACGUGAAAUUGCUGAAAGGGAAACGCUUGAAGUCAGUCGCGUUGUCCAGGGAUCAACCUUGCUUUUGCUUGGUGCACUUUCUGGUUGACGGGUCAGCAUCAAUUUUGACUAUUGGAAAAAGAUUAGGGGAAUGUGGCAUCUUNGGAUGUGUUAUAGCCCUUGGUUGCAUACAAUGGU